rnacentral:rRNA from 1 species
GGGUUGUGAGGUUAAGCGACUAAGCGUACACGGUGGAUGCCCUGGCAGUCAGAGGCGAUGAAGGACGUGCUAAUCUGCGAUAAGCGCCGGUAAGGUGAUAUGAACCGUUAUAACCGGCGAUUUCCGAAUGGGGAAACCCAGUGUGACUCGUCACACUAUCAUUAACUGAAUCCAUAGGUUAAUGAGGCGAACCGGGGGAACUGAAACAUCUAAGUACCCCGAGGAAAAGAAAUCAACCGAGAUUCCCCCAGUAGCGGCGAGCGAACGGGGAGGAGCCCAGAGCCUGAAUCAGCAUGUGUGUUAGUGGAAGCGUCUGGAAAGGCGCGCGAUACAGGGUGACAGCCCCGUACACAAAAGCGCAUGUGCUGUGAGCUCGAUGAGUAGGGCGGGACACGUGGUAUCCUGUCUGAAUAUGGGGGGACCAUCCUCCAAGGCUAAAUACUCCUGACUGACCGAUAGUGAACCAGUACCGUGAGGGAAAGGCGAAAAGAACCCCGGCGAGGGGAGUGAAAAAGAACCUGAAACCGUGUACGUACAAGCAGUGGGAGCNNGGGCGUUAAGUUGCAGGGUAUAGACCCGAAACCCGGUGAUCUAGCCAUGGGCAGGUUGAAGGUUGGGUAACACUAACUGGAGGACCGAACCGACUAAUGUUGAAAAAUUAGCGGAUGACCUGUGGCUGGGGGUGAAAGGCCAAUCAAACCGGGAGAUAGCUGGUUCUCCCCGAAAGCUAUUUAGGUAGCGCCUCGUGAAUUCAUCUCCGGGGGUAGAGCACUGUUUCGGCUAGGGGGCCAUCCCGGCUUACCAACCCGAUGCAAACUGCGAAUACCGGAGAAUGUUAUCACGGGAGACACACGGCGGGUGCUAACGUCCGUCGUGAAGAGGGAAACAACCCAGACCGCCAGCUAAGGUCCCAAAGUCAUGGUUAAGUGGGAAACGAUGUGGGAAGGCCCAGACAGCCAGGAUGUUGGCUUAGAAGCAGCCAUCAUUUAAAGAAAGCGUAAUAGCUCACUGGUCGAGUCGGCCUGCGCGGAAGAUGUAACGGGGCUAAACCAUGCACCGAAGCUGCGGCAGCGANNGUUGGGUAGGGGAGCGUUCUGUAAGCCUGUGAAGGUGGCCUGUGAGGGUUGCUGGAGGUAUCAGAAGUGCGAAUGCUGACAUAAGUAACGAUAAAGCGGGUGAAAAGCCCGCUCGCCGGAAGACCAAGGGUUCCUGUCCAACGUUAAUCGGGGCAGGGUGAGUCGACCCCUAAGGCGAGGCCGAAAGGCGUAGUCGAUGGGAAACGGGUUAAUAUUCCCGUACUUGGUGUUACUGCGAAGGGGGGACGGAGAAGGCUAUGUUGGCCGGGCGACGGUUGUCCCGGUUUAAGCGUGUAGGUGUGUGUUCCAGGUAAAUCCGGUUCACUUUAACACUGAGGCGUGACGACGAGGCACUACGGUGCUGAAGCAACAAAUGCCCUGCUUCCAGGAAAAGCCUCUAAGCAUCAGGUAACAUCAAAUCGUACCCCAAACCGACACAGGUGGUCAGGUAGAGAAUACCAAGGCGCUUGAGAGAACUCGGGUGAAGGAACUAGGCAAAAUGGUGCCGUAACUUCGGGAGAAGGCACGCUGACAUGUAGGUGAAGUGAUUUACUCAUGGAGCUGAAGUCAGUCGAAGAUACCAGCUGGCUGCAACUGUUUAUUAAAAACACAGCACUGUGCAAACACGAAAGUGGACGUAUACGGUGUGACGCCUGCCCGGUGCCGGAAGGUUAAUUGAUGGGGUCAGCGCAAGCGAAGCUCCUGAUCGAAGCCCCGGUAAACGGCGGCCGUAACUAUAACGGUCCUAAGGUAGCGAAAUUCCUUGUCGGGUAAGUUCCGACCUGCACGAAUGGCGUAAUGAUGGCCAGGCUGUCUCCACCCGAGACUCAGUGAAAUUGAACUCGCUGUGAAGAUGCAGUGUACCCGCGGCAAGACGGAAAGACCCCGUGAACCUUUACUAUAGCUUGACACUGAACAUUGAGCCUUGAUGUGUAGGAUAGGUGGGAGGCUUUGAAGUGUGGACGCCAGUCUGCAUGGAGCCGACCUUGAAAUACCACCCUUUAAUGUUUGAUGUUCUAACGUGGACCCGUUAUCCGGGUUGCGGACAGUGUCUGGUGGGUAGUUUGACUGGGGCGGUCUCCUCCUAAAGAGUAACGGAGGAGCACGAAGGUUGGCUAAUCCUGGUCGGACAUCAGGAGGUUAGUGCAAUGGCAUAAGCCAGCUUGACUGCGAGCGUGACGGCGCGAGCAGGUGCGAAAGCAGGUCAUAGUGAUCCGGUGGUUCUGAAUGGAAGGGCCAUCGCUCAACGGAUAAAAGGUACUCCGGGGAUAACAGGCUGAUACCGCCCAAGAGUUCAUAUCGACGGCGGUGUUUGGCACCUCGAUGUCGGCUCAUCACAUCCUGGGGCUGAAGUAGGUCCCAAGGGUAUGGCUGUUCGCCAUUUAAAGUGGUACGCGAGCUGGGUUUAGAACGUCGUGAGACAGUUCGGUCCCUAUCUGCCGUGGGCGCUGGAGAACUGAGGGGGGCUGCUCCUAGUACGAGAGGACCGGAGUGGACGCAUCACUGGUGUUCGGGUUGUCAUGCCAAUGGCACUGCCCGGUAGCUAAAUGCGGAAGAGAUAAGUGCUGAAAGCAUCUAAGCACGAAACUUGCCCCGAGAUGAGUUCUCCCUGAGACUUAGAGUCUCCUGAAGGAACGUUGAAGACGACGACGUUGAUAGGCCGGGUGUGUAAGCGCAGCGAUGCGUUG